AUUUGGGAAAAAUUCAAUAAUACAAUAAAUUCCAUAUUGUGAGAUACAUCUGUAUCUAUAAAAUAAAUAUUUAACUAGCAGAUACAUUUGUAUCUUUGUGAAAAAUGCAAUACAACAGUGAACAAAAAGCUACGCUUCUAUAAAGUCCAUACAGUGAGAUACAUUUGUAUCUAUAAAAUAAAUAAUUAACUGUUGGAUACAUUUGUAUCUUUGUGAAAAAUGCAACAAAAUUUAAUAAAAAGUAAUCCAUAUUGUGAGAUAGAUUUGUAUCUAUGAAAGAUACGUUAGUAUCGGUGAGAUAAACUAAAAAAAAAAACAAUUUAAGAAAACCUUUUUUGCUGUGAAAUAAACAUUGUGUGAACGGAUUUAUAUCCAUAAGAUACUUUUUCAUCCAUCAAGUACGUUUGAAUCUGUGAGAGAAAUGCCUGAAAAAGUGUGUGCAGUGCAACAGGAACUUUAACUAAAUCUAAUUUGCUAUCUGUCAGAUACUUUUCACCGAAAACGAAACCGACGCCAUGCCAAUGCCAAUGCGAAAGCUAAAAUUACAUUUACAAUUACAUUUUAGCCCAAAAGUCAGUUCAUUAACGAAUGUUACCCCUAACCCCCUUCUACCCGUGACUCUUGCAGAGCAUCGUCCACAAUUAGCGGAGCUAUCGGAGAGGAGAGGAGGAGCCAAGGAGCCGCCGCCCAGCAACAACCAAUGGACCAUGUUGAUGCCGGUGCUGGAAUACUCGUACAACAGACACAUAGCCAAGAUACCAAAUUGUAAAAUGAGGCGAACGACGACGCUUAGAGUGGCAUCGAUGCGGAUUGGGUUGCUGUUCCUCCAACUGUUGCUGGUGCCGCUGCUCCACUGCCAGGCGGUGGAUCCAGCGGCCAGCGGUGGUGUUGCUGGCGGUACUGUCGCUGGCGGAGGAGUCAGCGCUGGUGCUGGUGCUCCCGGAGGUGCGGCAGGGAGCAACAGCCUCAAUGGCGGACCAGCGGGUGGCACACUGAGUGCCAAUCUCACGGAAUUGGGCAGUCCCGGUGUGUAUAAUUCGGCAUUGGAUAUAUAAUGCUAAUUGCAAUGUAGUAUAUGGCGUAUAGCUGACUUAACCCCUAACCCCUAGCCACAGUCCCAUUACCAUUCCCAUUCCCAGCCCCCUUGACGACGACGCCACCAUUUUGGCAUUUGUGUGCAUUAGCCGUUUCCGUUUCCGCUUGGCAAAAGCAAGAGCAAAAGCAGGGAAAGGGUUGGCCGGGCGGCAGAAACUAUUAGCUACUUGGCGCUAAAUAACCACGCCCACGCCCAUACCCACGACCCUUGGCCCGACCACCUCCUCCAUUCACACAGAAGCAAAACACUAAGCAUCAAUUAACCCAAUUUUCAGAAUCCAUUUUCACCUGGCCACGGAGCAUGGAGCAUGGAGCAUGGCGCAUGGAGCUGUGGCCAUGGCGCGCUCUUUGGCUCUUUUGCUGAGUAUUUUCCUACUUUUCCGUACUUUUGUGUGGACUUAAGUGUGCGUGUUCACAGCUCCUUUUCCCUCCGUCCAUCUAUAUAUAUAUUUUUUUGAGAGUUUACCUCUUCUUUUUUGCCACCAAUCCCCAAGUGGCGACGAGUCGAAACCAACUCCCAAUUCCCCCAAUCCCAGCCCCAGCCCACUUCCUUGUUUAAUCCUGGCGCUUUUAGCCAGACUUUUCUUCUACUCCAAACUCUUUUCACAGGCGUUCCGGGCAUUUGUUGUAGUUUGGUUUGGUUUUGGUUUCUGGAUCUGGACUUCAACGUGGGAGCAGCAGCAGCGGCAGCAGCAAAUCAUAAUUAAUCCAUCGAUUUUCCAGCAAUCUUUUUUCAGCAUUAUCCAGCUUCAAUAAUUCACACAAAUCAUUUCAGCUAUAAAUAUAAAUUCUUUUUACAGCAUUUAACAAUGAGUUUUUCAGCAAACAAGAGAAUUUUUUCAGCACAGUAGAGGUUUUUCCCUGUUAUUAUGGAUUGGAAUACAUAUUACGGAUCCAAUUACAAAUUGAUGAGCGGACGCCACAGAACUUGUACGACAGUUUGUCAGACAUCGGAUACAACGGACAGCGGGUGGUCCCUCGGAGCAUUGGUCAUCCGCAAACAGCUGGAGAGAUGCAGAUGUCCGGGACUGGGAUUGUAUUUCUUUGAAGAAGUGACAACCCUUCAGAUACAUUUACGACUGCUGGCGGGAGUAGUGUGCUUGAUUGCGGCUGAAAGAAACGAAUUUCAUAAUGUUUCAUUAUAAUAAGUGUAUUAAAUUAAAAACGAGGGGGAACGUUUGAUCAGAUCUGAUCCAGGUCCAUCAAUCUGAUAGAUACGGUUAUUCCCUAUAAUUCUAAGCUGGAUACUGGAUACAACAUUUAGUUUCUAUAGCUCUUAUAGUCCCUGAGAUCUAGGCGCUCAACGGGACCGCCAGACGGACAGUCAGAUAUGGCUAUAUCGACUUGGCUUUUGAUGCUGAGCAAGAAGCUAUGUACUUUAUGGGAUCGGAAACGCUUCCUUCUUGACGAUACACACAUCUAAUCUAAUGUACCCCUAAUCUCAUUUUUAGUACCGGGUAUAACUAUCUCUAAGUUUGUUAUUCAUAAAUAUAAUCUACUAAUUAUUCAUACGAAUAAAGCCACCAUUCAAACGUGAUAAAACAUAA